ACCCAGGAGUCCCCCCAGCCUCACACCCAGCCCUGCACUGGGUUUAAUCCCUUCUCCCUGGAAACAGGGCACGGCAGGAGCCGGGCAAGCACGGGCCUGGAGGAGGAGGAGGAGGAGGAGGAGGAAGAGGAAGGCCUCGUGCUCCCACAGGAAAUGCUGUGGGAUCUCAGAUGCUGCCAAGACCCCAGCCCAGCACCUAAGUGAGUCUUUCUCCAGGAGCUGGAUGAGGAGCCAGCCCUUCCCGGCGCCAAUUGCCAUGGAGAACCACGAGACAGGCAGCGAGAAGAGCGCUGGGUUAACACAAGUCAACUAUAUUUAAAACAUUUAAUACAAAUCUGUUUUGACAA